GGGGAGACCACUCUCCAAGCCUAAGUACUCGUGCAUGACCGAUAGCGAACUAGUACCGUGAGGGAAAGGUGAAAAGCACCCCGACAAGGGGAGUGAAAGAGUACCUGAAACCGAUUGCCUACAAUCAGUGGGAGCCUGCAAUGGUGACCACGUACCUUUUGUAUAAUGGGUCAGCGACUUAGUGUGACGAGCGAGCUUAAACCGGUAGGUGUAGGCGCAGCGAAAGCGAGUCUGAACAGGGCGUUCAGUUCGUCGCAUUAGACCCGAAACCGAGUGAUCUAGCCAUGAGCAGGCUGAAGGUAAGGUAACACUUACUGGAGGGCCGAACCCAUAACUGUUGCAAUAGUUCGGGAUGACUUGUGGCUAGGGGUGAAAGGCCAAUCAAACUCGGAAAUAGCUGGUUCUCCGCGAAAUCUAUUUAGGUAGAGCGUCGACCGAAUACCCUCGGGGGUAGAGCACUGGAUGGGCUAUGGGGACUCACCGUCUUACUGAUCCUAACCAAACUCCGAAUACCGAGGAGUACUAGUCGGCAGACACACGGCGGGUGCUAACGUCCGUCGUGAAAAGGGCAACAACCCUGACCUCCAGCUAAGGUCCCCAAGUCAUGGCUAAGUGGGAAAGGAUGUGAGGAUCCCAAAACAACCAGGAUGUUGGCUUAGAAGCAGCCAUCAUUUAAAGAAAGCGUAACAGCUCACUGGUCUAAAUAAGGGUCUUUGCGCCGAAAAUGUAACGGGGCUAAAGCCAUGCACCGAAGCUGAGGAUUUGCACUUUGUGCAAGUGGUAGCGGAGCGUUCCGUAAGUCUGUGAAGGCGGACCCGUGAGGGCUGCUGGAGAUAUCGGAAGUGCGAAUGUUGACAUGAGUAACGAUAAAGGGAGUGAGAGACUCCCUCGCCGAAAGACCAAGGGUUCCUGCUUAAAGUUAAUCUGAGCAGGGUUAGCCGGCCCCUAAGACGAGGCGGACACGCGUAGUCGAUGGGAACCACGUUAAUAUUCGUGGGCCUGGUGGUAGUGACGGAUCUCGUGUGUUGUUCAACCUUAUUGGAUUGGUUGGGCGGCGAAGAGGUUCCAGGAAAUAGCUCCACCGUAUAGACCGUACCCGAAACCGACACAGGUGGUCAGGUAGAGUAUACCAAGGCGCUUGAGAGAACUAUGUUGAAGGAACUCGGCAAAUUGCACGCGUAACUUCGGAAGAAGCGUGACCCUUUUGUACGCAAGUAUGAUGGGGUGGCACAGACCAGGGGGUAGCGACUGUUUAUCAAAACACAGGGCUCUGCGAAGUAGCAAUACGACGUAUAGGGUCUGACGCCUGCCCGGUGCUGGAAGGUUAAAGGGAGGGGUGCAAGCUCUGAACUGAAGCCCCAGUAAACGGCGGCCGUAACUAUAACGGUCCUAAGGUAGCGAAAUUCCUUGUCGGGU
rnacentral:rRNA from 1 species